GAUGAACGCUGGCGGCGUGCCUAAUACAUGCAAGUCGAGCGAACGGACGAGAAGCUUGCUUCUCUGAUGUUAGCGGCGGACGGGUGAGUAACACGUGGAUAACCUACCUAUAAGACUGGGAUAACUUCGGGAAACCGUAGCUAAUACCGGAUAAUAUUUUGAACCGCAUGGUUCAAAAGUGAAAGACGGUCUUGCUGUCACUUAUAGAUGGAUCCGCGCUGCAUUAGCUAGUUGGUAAGGUAACGGCUUACCAAGGCAACGAUGCAUAGCCGACCUGAGAGGGGGAUCGCCCACACGGGAACAGAGACACGGCCCAGACUCCUACGGGGGGCAGCAGUAGGGAAUCGUCCGCAAUGGGCGAAAGCCUGACGGAGCAACGCCGCGUGAGUGAAGAAGGUCUUCGGAUCGUAAAACUCUGUUAUUAGGAAAAAACAUAUGUGUAAGUAACUGUGCAAAUCUUGACGGUACCUAAUCAGAAAGCCACGGCUAACGACG
rnacentral:rRNA from 1 species